UUAAGCGGAGGAAAAGAAACUAACAAGGAUUCCCCUAGUAACGGCGAGUGAAGAGGGAAGAGCCCAAGAUUGAAAGCUGGCGUCUUUGGCGUCCGCGUUGUAAUCUCAAGAAGCGUUUUCCGCUCCGGACCGAGCCCAAGUCCCUUGGAAAAGGGCAUCGUAGAGGGUGAGAAUCCCGUACAUGGCUCGGAGUGCCCGGGGUUUUGUGAAGCGCUUUCCAAGAGUCGAGUUGUUUGGGAAUGCAGCUCAAAAUGGGUGGUAAAUGCCAUCUAAGGCUAAAUAUUGGGGAGAGACCGAUAGCGAACAAGUACCGUGAGGGAAAGAUGAAAAGAACUUUGAAAAGAGAGUUAAACAGUACGUGAAAUUGCCAAAAGGGAAGGGUAGGAGGUCAGAGAUGCAGUCUGGGAUUCAGCCUUGCUUCUUGCUUGGUGUAGGUCCCAGUGUUGCAGGCCAACAUCGGUUUUGGGGCGCUGGAGAAGGGUGAGAGGAAUGUGGCACCCUUUCACGAGGGUGUGUUAUAGCCUCUCACUGGAUACAGCGAACGAGACCGAGGAACGCAGCGUACCCCCGCAAGGGGCGGGCCUUUGGGCACCUUUACGCUUAGGGUGUUGGCAUAAUGGCCGUCUACCACCCGUCUGAAAACACGGA
rnacentral:rRNA from 1 species